rnacentral:misc_RNA from 1 species
GUGAAUCAUCGAAUCUUUGAACGCAAAUUGCACUCUCUUCGGAGCGUAUGCGUGUUUGUGGGUCAGCCUCAAAAAAAAUCGAAAUCGUUGUUGUUUCGCGGUGGCGUUCGUAGGAAAUUGGGUUAUCUUAAAUCUUUGUUUUAAGCGACUUAAAAUUUUCUUUAUGAUUCCUUGAACGCUUCUAUGAUUUAUUUUUUUACACGUUUAAGGUUUCGAUUUUAUUAGGCGUGGUCGUCAUAUCGGAUCACGUCCAUA